CUUUGAUUCUAGGUACAUGAGUAGUGUAGUUUGUAUGAUUUCUCAAAUGUAAAUAGCAUCCAUGGUGUCUGUGAUUUCCUUGGUGGGAUAGGGUGCAGUUUUAAGUGGUGGUCAUAGUGAAGUUUUGCUGGGGACUAUUCCCAGUGGUGACAACAGUGGGCUGGCUGUGCCAGUCCUUGGUCAGCAGAGUGACAUAUGCUGGUACCAGUGUUAGCAUAUCCAGGCAGGUCAAUUCUUGGGCCUCCAGGUGGCUUGCUUAGAAGCUGUUAGAGGCAGUGGUGGGCCAGAUGGGUUGGAGUGCAGUGAUGUGAUCAUAGCUCAAUGUAGCCUUGACCUUCUGGCUCAAAGGAUCCCGCUGCUUCAGCCCCCACAGUAGCUAGGACUACAGGCUCACUCCUCCAUGCCUGGGGU
rnacentral:lncRNA from 13 species